rfam:Vigna angularis cultivar Jingnong 6 chromosome 4, whole genome shotgun sequence.
AAAACAUGAUGUGGACAUUUCCUCAUUAACUCCUUAUACUUUUCCCAAGCCUCAUUUAGAGAUUUAGUUUCUUGCAGCACAAAAGAAGUGAUCUCAUUUCUCAUUCU